rnacentral:tRNA from 1 species
GGCCUCGUAGCUCAUCAGGAUAGAGCGCAUGAUUCCUAAUCAUGAGGUAGAAGGUUCGAGUCCUUCCGGGGCCA